rnacentral:rRNA from 1 species
GAUCCGGGGUCAGGACGAACGCUGGGGGUGUGUUUCCUAUAUGCAAGUCGAACGAUGAAGUUACUUCGGUAUUGGAUUAGGGGCGAAUGGGUGAGGAACGCGUGAUUAAUCUGCCCCUCUUUUUGGGAUAGCUUCGGGAAACCGAGGCUAAUACCGAAUAUGGAACCGUAAGGGGCAUCACUGAGUUUUGAAAGUUUUUCGAUGAGGGAUGACUUCGCGGCCUAUCACUUGGUUGGUGAGGUAACGGCUCACCAAGGCAACGACGGGUAGCCGGUCUGAAAGGGCGAACGGCCACGCUGGGACUGAGACACGGCCCAAACUCCUACGGGAGGCAGCAGUAGGGAAUAUUGCGCAAUGGAGGAAACUCUGACGCACCGACGCCGCGUGCGGAAUGAAGGCCUUCGGUUUGUAAACCGCUUUCGAUAGGGAAGAAACGAAAGUGACGGUACCUACAAAAGAAGCACCGGCUAAAUAUGUGCCAGCA